AUGUAUGUAUUUGGUAGGUUGUUUGGAAUAGAUUCACUGUAUGUGACAUUAACUUUUUGCUAUUGUUAGCAAAACCUUUUUUUGCGAUUGACUAGUUCGUUUAUUUAUUUCUUCCAAACAAAUUUGAGGCAGUGAUGAUGGUCAUUAUUCAGUACUUUCUUUAGCUUUUACUGCAUUCCUUAGUCUGCUGUGAAAGCAAAUUUUGGGUUGAAAACACAGGAAAAACCCAAGUGGUCUGUAGCUACUAAGAGAGAUGCUUACAAGUGCUGGAGCAAGAGAAAUGGUUUCUAUGCAGUAUAGAGACCUUUUUGUAUCAACACUCUAAAAGACUGAGUUCAAGAGAAUCACUUCACCUCUAAAGUACCAGACAAGAUGUGUUGCUGCCUUUCCAGAUCAGCAAGGUUUGUUGUUGAUAGAUCGGAUCCAAGAAAGGCAAUUUCCUUGU